UUUUUUUGGCAAAUGUCAGGCCUUAUAUCUCGGUCAUCUUUAAUGUGUUUUGUGUUCUAAAGGUUGAUAUGUGUAGCUUGUUAUGUGGUAUUUAACCUCCAAAAAGAAUCAGGUCCAUAUAUAUUACGGAUUAAGAGUUAUUUAAGGUCAAAGUGGGUUGACCGGCAUUGACCGGAAAAUUCUGGGCAGCCCAGAAUUUUCUAAGUGUUAAUUUUUCUGACUAGGUUUGACCAUACUUUAGAUGCUUGUUUUAUUGUUGUUAUGAUUAUUUUAAGUGUUAGAGUUGUAGUCCUACAUGUUGUCUACACACUGGAAUUGAUAGAUCACGUAAACAUUUCACGAUCAUCAAGUUAUAGAGGUUCAAAGUAGGCAUCACGAACUGUUCUUCACGAAGAACAGCUCUGAUAGCUACUUUGAGGUACGAUUUCCCCCAGAUCUGAU
rnacentral:lncRNA from 1 species